UACAGAGGUCUCAAGCGUUGUUCGGAUUCAUUGGGCGUAAAGAGCUCGUAGGCGGUUUGGUAAGUCAGGUGUGAAAUCUCCACGCUCAACGUGGAGGGGCCACCUGAUACUGCCAUGACUGGAGUCCGGUAGAGGAGUGUGGAAUUCCCGGUGUAGCGGUGAAAUGCGCAGAUAUCGGGAGGAACACCCGUAGCGAAGGCGGCACUCUGGGCCGGUACUGACGCUGAGGAGCGAAAGCGUGGGGAGCAAACAGG
rnacentral:rRNA from 1 species